rnacentral:rRNA from 1 species
AACGAGCGCUGGCGGCAGGCUUAACACAUGCAAGUCGAACGCACCGCAAGGUGAGUGGCAGACGGGUGAGUAACACGUGGGGAUCUGCCCAAUGGUACGGAAUAGCUCCGGGAAACUGGAAUUAAUACCGUAUGAGCCCGCAAGGGGAAAGAUUUAUCGCCAUUGGAUGAACCCGCGUCGGAUUAGCUAGUUGGUGUGGUAAAGGCGCACCAAGGCGACGAUCCGUAGCUGGUCUGAGAGGAUGAUCAGCCACACUGGGACUGAGACACGGCCCAGACUCCUACGGGAGGCAGCAGUGGGGAAUAUUGGACAAUGGGCGCAAGCCUGUUCCAGCCAUGCCGCGUGAGUGAUGAAGGCCUUAGGGUUGUAAAGCUCUUUCGCCGACGAAGAUAAUGACGGUAGUCGGAGAAGAAGCCCCGGCUAACUUCGUGCCAGCCGCCGCAGUAAAAC